UGUUAUUAAAAAUGUAAUCUAAUUAAAUAGAGUAGUAAUAGUUAUGUUCUUAAAACUUAAUAAAUUUGGCGGUAUUUUAAUCUUUUUAGAGGAACUUGUUUCAUAAUUGAUAAUCCUCAUUUUAUCUUACUUAAAUUUAUUAAAUUUGUAUAUCGUCGUCAUAAGAAUAUCUUAAAAAAGUUAAAAAUUUUCUAAAAUUUUAAUUAAUAAUAAUGUCAGAUCAAGGUGCAGUUUAUAUUUAAGAAGAAAUGAGUUACAAUAAAUUUAUUUAAACGAAUUUGAUUUUGUAAUGAUUAAUGAAGGUGGAUUUAUUAGUAAAAUAAAUAAUUAAAUUUAUUUGAUUAUAGUUCUAAAAUAUGUACAAAUCGCCCG
rnacentral:rRNA from 1 species